rnacentral:lncRNA from 1 species
AGGGUGUGAGCCAGAGGGAUUCUCACAGGGGGAGGGCUGGGAUAAAAUAAAAACCCUUUAUUUCACAUCUGCAGUGUCCAACCACCGCUUCCAAGUGCUGAGCCUGAUCCUCAGCUCGUGUGGAGCAGCAUGAGGCUCAACAGGACCAUUUUUGUGGGCUGCCACCAGGUCUUGCUGCCUCUCUGUGUCCCCCCCAGCACGUGGAGACGCCUCAGCAGGAGGAUGCUCAACAGCACUUGUGAGUGCUGGAUUCCUGCUGUCACAUCAGCUGUCACCUUGGUGCUCCACGCUCUCCUCUUGCUGGCCCUUUACAUCAUGCUCAGCAGGAAAAUUGCCCAACAUUCCCGUGGGAUGCAGGCGAGCAGCAGCCCUGGGGAGCAUCCCAGCCCUCAUCCCGCCCCAGUUCCAGCCCCGUCACCGGGAGGGGACAAGGCACAGCAGCCCAGGGCACAACAGCCGGGGGCACAAAACCCAGCACCGGCCUGCGCAGGUAACGGGGUCCUGCAGUGCCAGGGCAUUGUCCUGGCACAGGGAUGGGAAUUUUGGGUGGCUUUUGUGUGA